UCAUAGCAUAGUGGAAGAGCAUCUGCCUUGCAUGCAGAAUGUCCCGGGUUCAAUCCCUGGCUGGGAGAA